AUUGACUUUCCCAUCAUAGAAUCUUCAGGAAUACACAUACCUUCAGCAUCUAAUAUUUCAGCUAUGACAAAAUAACAAGAAAAGGACAAUACAGGCACGAGCUUUGAACACUGCUGUAAAGACUCACUGUUAAUUCACAUAAAUGUGAUUGCCAUUUUAUACAUUUUAUCAAAAACAACUUUAGUGUGAAAGUCCAAUUACUAAAAAAUCUUUAGGCAAGUUCUAGUAUUCACAUACCACAGGAUUCCAAUGGUUCAACUUUUCAAUAGUCAAUGAAUUAGGCCAAUAAUUAGAAUAAAAUGUAUGCAUAGCAUGUUUAUAAUAAUUUUUUACCCAAAUAGUUCAAAUAUAACAUGUUCUGAAGA
rnacentral:lncRNA from 1 species